GCGUGUGCUCCCCCCCACACCUCAGCUUUGUCCUCUCAUUUUUCACAUUUCACACUUGAGUCAUUAACUAUUUGAGACAUGCUGUGGUUGGCCAUGCCUGUGACUGGCCUUUCCUCUAGCAGGAGGGCCUCCUGUCUGCGUUUGUUGGAAUUCUGGGCCAAGCUCCAGCUGCUCCAGCAGAGUCCUUUCAGGACUGAGCCCUAGCACCCCUGGGGGCCAUAGACCCACCCACGUGGGUAGUGGGAGGAUUAUGACACAAGGUAUGGAUGUCUACACGGAAAACAGGUGACAGAAAGACCAGGAAUCCUGUCACUCAGCCUGCCCAGACUUUGGAUGAGGAGAAACUCUGGGGCUCCCGGAGUGCAGCAGUGCUCCUAGGACUCUGUGACCCAGCCCCCGGCUUUCAGGCCCUGGUGCUGAUUUCUCCCCAUCCCUCCCUACUCAGGCUCCAAUCAAUCAAUGGAGGAAAUCUUUCACGUGGCACCUCUCUGAGCCCUGCAGGCUCCUACAAGAUUGAUUAACACAAACAUCAAUUUCUUGGGCUGUGCGCCUCUGAAAACACGGUGCUUUUUCAGAUUGAAUUGCUACUGUGCGCCUGGUGUAAAUAAAGGAGAGGAAAUAACAUGGAAGAUUUGUGACUGUGUGAUGUGGCUGCACUCUCAGCUGGGGCUAUUAGAUGGGUGGCAGGGAGAGGGAGGGCGGAAGAAGAGAGGGGAGCUCUCCCUUCCAAGGCUGACAGACAGACGGAGAGGUGGAGGAGAGCCAGGGAAUGAGAAGAGUCAGAACUGUGGUGCGGCUGACCUGUAGCACAGUCUCUGGAAGGAGCAUGCUAAUUGGUUCUUUAUUUUCUCUGGCUGUCUGGAGGAUGUCAACAGGGGGGCAGGUGUCACUACUGGUCCUGCAGCAGCUGUGGGGUAGCUUGGCUUCUGGCCCUAAGCCUGUGUGAGGCUCCUUUUGCUUUGUUUCUCCCUCUCCCUCUCCAGUACAAAGCAAGGCAUGUUCAAGCAGGCGCAGACCAGGCACCUCGUGGGCACAGGGCCCGGAGAACAGAAGCAGGAGAGUUUGGUAUCAAGGUAGAGGCAUAGGGACUGAUCACGGUCCUGAGGACAGUGAGCGAGGCCUUCUCUGAGACCACCACUUGCUCUGCUUGGCUUUGAACCUCCAAGAUGUGUCCCUGAGCCCUGCUCCCUGUCUCCUCAUCCUGAGGCCCAGCUGCCUUCAUACCCUUAAGAUUCUUACCUGGGUCAUGGGGAUCCGCUUUCUUUUUUUUUUUUUUUUCUUGUUACUGUAUUAAAACACUCUGAUAAAAGCAACUUAAGGGAGAAAGGGUCUAUUUCAGAUCACAGUGCAGACCAUCGCAGUGGGGAAGCCGAGGCUGCAGGAGCUUAGUGCAGCUGGUCACGUUGAAUCCACAGGACGCAGACAUGCUGCUGCUCUGUGCCCUUUCUCAGGACCCCACCUAGGUAAUGGCGCCACCACAAUUAAUUCUGUUUUAGUGUGUGCUGCGUGUGUUGGCGUCCUUGGAGUCCAGAGCAUCAGAUCCCUUAGAGCUGAUGUGGCAGGUGGUUGUGAGCCACCCACAUGGUCCCUGGAACUAAACUUCAGUAUCUGGAAGAGCAGCAAGCAUGAGUAAGCCUUCUCUCCAGGCUCCUCCCUCCCCCACUUAGUCCUGUUAUGUAAAAAGAUGACAUUGUGUGCUGAUCUUGAAU